AAGUCAGUAACAAGGUUUCCGUAGGUGAACCUUGCUGGAAUGAUUCAAUUGAAAAGUAGGCAUUAGGGGUUCAUUCAAUGGCCCCGAGCCUCAUCCCUCUUGUUGUUAUAACUACCUUGUUGCUUUGGCGGGACCGUCUCGGCUCUCCGAGCGGCACUAACCCUCGGGUUGGUGAGCGCCCGCCAGAGUCCAACCAAACUCUUUAUUAAACCAGUCGUCUGAGUAUAAAAAUUUUAAUUAAAUUAAAA
rnacentral:misc_RNA from 1 species